rnacentral:rRNA from 1 species
AUGAGGUAGCCAACACUGUUUUUAUAUAUAUAUAUAUAUAUAUAUAUAUAUUUUUUUUUUUAUUUUUUACUUGAGGUAGCCCCCAAAAUAUUGGGACAUAUAAAAAAAAGCAACUCUGUUCCGCAGAGUAGCUGUUGACAUUAUAGUUGCGCAGGAACUUUGUUGACUCUAGAGAACCUCGGGCAAAACGCACAUGCCCGUGGCGGCAACGACUUUGCAUGCAGAUGUCAUCCAUAUCAACUGUCGAUGCCAGUUUCUGCGCCUACCAUGGUGACCACGGAUAAUGGGGAUUCAGAGUUCCAUUCCGUACAGGAACCCUGAGAAACGGCUACCACAUGCAAGGAAGGCA